AAGAACUGCAUUCAGAGAACUUUUCAUUCUUGAGUGCCAGGAGAAGGAGAGUGGGAACUUCCAUGUUUAGCGGUUGAAAUGCGUAGGAUAUAUUGAAAGAACAACAGUGGCGAAAGGCGGCUCUCUGGUCUGUAACUGACGCUGAGGCUCGAAAGCAUGGGUAGCGAAACAGGAAUAAGAUACCCUGGUAGUACCAUGCCGUAAACGAUGAGUGCUAAGUGUUGGGAGGUUUCCGCCUCUCAGUGCUGCAGCUAACGCAUUAAGCACUCCGCCUGGGGAGUACGACCGCAAGGUUGAAACUCAAAGGAAUUGACGGGGGCCCGCACAAGCGGUGGAGCAUGUGGUUUAAUUCGAAGCAACGCGAAGAACCUUACCAGGUCUUGACAUCCUUUGACCACCUAAGAGAUUAGGUUUUCCCUUCGGGGACAAAGAGACAGGUGGUGCAUGGCUGUCGUCAGCUCGUGUCGUGAGAUGUUGGGUUAAGUCCCGCAACGAGCGCAACCCUUGUUAAUAGUUGCCAGCAUUAAGUUGGGCACUCUAUUGAGACUGCCGGUGACAAACCGGAGGAAGGUGGGGAUGACGUCAAGUCAUCAUGCCCCUUAUGACCUGGGCUACACACGUGCUACAAUGGGCAGUACAACGAGAAGCGAACCGUGAAGGCAAGCGGAUCUCUUAAAGCUGUUCUCAGUUCGGACUGUAGGCUGCAACUCGCCUACACGAAGCUGGAAUCGCUAGUAAUCGCGGAUCAGCACGCCGCGGUGAAUACGUUCCCGGGCCUUGUACACACCGCCCGUCACACCAUGAGAGUUUGUAACACCCAAAGUCGGUGAGGUAACCUUUGGAGCCAGCCGCCUAAGGUGGGACAGAUGAUUAGGGUGAAGUCGUAACAAGGUAGCCGUAGGAGAACCUGCGGCUGGAACACCUCCUU
rnacentral:rRNA from 1 species